rnacentral:tRNA from 1 species
GGACAGAUGGCCGAGUGGUUAUGGCGUGUGACUCAAGCUGCUAAGCUUGGUUGAUGUAAAAUCGACUAGCAUUCUCAUGGGCUUAGCCCGCGGGGGUUCGAAUCCCCCUCUGUUCA